AACGAACGCUGGCGGCAUGCCUAACACAUGCAAGUCGAACGAGACCUUCGGGUCUAGUGGCGCACGGGUGCGUAACGCGUGGGAACCUUCCCUUAGGUUCGGAAUAACCCCCCGAAAGGGGUGCUAAUACCGGAUAAUGUCUUCGGACCAAAGAUUUAUCGCCUUUGGAUGGGCCCGCGUUGGAUUAGCUAGUUGGUAGGGUAAAAGCCUACCAAGGCGACGAUCCAUAGCUGGUCUGAGAGGAUGAUCAGCCACACUGGGACUGAGACACGGCCCAGACUCCUACGGGAGGCAGCAGUGGGGAAUAUUGGACAAUGGGCGAAAGCCUGAUCCAGCAAUGCCGCGUGAGUGAUGAAGGCCUUAGGGUUGUAAAGCUCUUUUACCCGGGAUGAUAAUGACAGUACCGGGAGAAUAAGCCCCGGCUAACUCCGUG
rnacentral:rRNA from 1 species